rnacentral:rRNA from 1 species
CAGUCGCCACGGUAAUACGUAGGUGGCAAGCGUUGUCCGGAAUCAUUGGGCGUAAAGGGCUCGCGGGCGGUUUCUUAAGUCUGAUGUGAAAGCCCCCGGCUCAACCGGGGAGGGUCAUUGGAAACUGGGAAACUUGAGUGCAGAAGAGGAGAGUGGAAUUCCACGUGUAGCGGUGAAAUGCGUAGAGAUGUGGAGGAACACCAGUGGCGAAGGCGACUCUCUGGUCUGUAACUGACGCUGAGGAGCGAAAGCGUGGGGAGCGAACAGGAUUAGAUACCCCCGUAGUCCCUGUCUCUUAUAA